GUUUGUUUAACUAUGGCAAUAAGAAGUUUACAGUGUUUUAAUUGCAUAAAAAGUUUUUAUAUUAAUUAACAUAAAGAUUUUAUGUUUAAAUUAUUAGCAGUUAGUAUUUUUAUAGAAUUUACGUUUUUUAAGAUAACAUUGUAUAAAGGGGAUAGGACACAGUGCCAGCAUCCGCGGUUAAUCUGUUUUCUUUGCUUUUUUAUAGUAUUAUAAAGUUAAUGUUUACCCUCAAGGUUAGGUGAAAUUUUCUUGAUUUUAUAUUAAGCAUUAAUUAUUAUAUAAAUAGAUUAUAUUGACAGGGAUUAGAUACCCCAUUAAUUAUCUAUUAUAGUGUAUGUUUAGUUUAAUAACUAAAAUAGUUUGGCAGCGAGUUACUCCUGUUGGGGGAAGGUGUGUUGUAAAGGAUGAUCCGCCUAUUAAUUUACUUUAAUUAUGUUGGUGUAUAUCUGGUUAUAUAUUAUUGCUUAGUAGCUUCAACUUGUGCAUUGAAAAUUUAAGCCAAGUCUAUGUGCUGCAUAUUAAAGUUUUUCAUGCGUUACAUUUAUAAAUAAUUUUUUUUGUAAAAUAAAUUUUUUUAGGACUCAAGAGUAAUAAAAAUUAAGUUUGUUUUUGUGAAGUAGGUUUAACUCGGGUACACACCGCCCGUCACCCUCGACUAUUGUUGAGGUAAGUCGUAACAUGGUAGCCUUAAAUGAAUUUGAGGCUAAUUACUUACAAUA
rnacentral:ncRNA from 1 species